CUACAAGAUAAUGCGUUUGUCAGAAUUGUGGAGACUUUGUGGCACUGCCUCCCACCCAGCAGAGUAAAUUCAAAGCCUGAUGCCUGUGCGUACCUCCCUCCUUGUCUAGGAUCCUCUGGCCAUGAAGAGUUCCUCCGUUCAUAUGGGUCUUCUUGUGUCGGUUAACACAUCUGAGAUACUCUCCACAAGCAUGUCCACAGGACCUUCUCCCGGGUUGAGAAUCCAAAAUCAAGGUGCUGGAA